rnacentral:rRNA from 1 species
UCCAGACUCCUACGGGAGGCAGCAGUGGGGAAUAUUGGGCAAUGGGCGCAAGCCUGACCCAGCAACGCCGCGUGAAGGAAGAAGGCUUUCGGGUUGUAAACUUCUUUUGUCAGGGAAGAGUAGAAGACGGUACCUGACGAAUAAGCCACGGCUAACUACGUGCCAGCAGCCGCGGUAAUACGUAGGUGGCAAGCGUUGUCCGGAUUUACUGGGUGUAAAGGGCGUGUAGCCGGGCUGACAAGUCAGAUGUGAAGUUCCGGGGCUCAACCCCGGACCUGCAUUUGAAACUGUUGGUCUUGAGUAUCGGAGAGGCAGGCGGAAUUCCUAGUGUAGCGGUGAAAUGCGUAGAUAUUAGGAGGAACACCAGUGGCGAAGGCGGAUUGCUGGACAGUAACUGACGCUGAGGCGCGAAAGCGUGGGGAGCAAACAGGAUUAGAUACCCUCGUAA